GUCGUCGAGAGUGUUGGGUUAAGUCCCGCAACGAGCGCAACCCCUGCAUUCAGUUGCCAUCGGUAAGGCCGGGCACUCUGGAUGGACUGCCGGCGACAAGCCGGAGGAAGGUGGGGACGACGUCAAGUCAUCAUGGCCCUUAUGUCCAGGGCGACACACGUGCUACAAUGGCCGGCACAACGGGAAGCGAAGGGGCGACCCUGAGCGGAUCCCACAAAAGCCGGUCUCAGUUCGGAUUGCAGUCUGCAACUCGACUGCAUGAAGUUGGAAUCGCUAGUAAUCGUGGAUCAGCCAAGCCGCGGUGGAUACGUUCCCGGGCCUU
rnacentral:rRNA from 1 species